rnacentral:tRNA from 1 species
GACUCUGUAGUUCAAUUGGAUUAGAACACCUGCCUUUUAAUUUUAAAAAAAGAAAGCAGGAUGUUGUGGGUUCGAGUCCCGCCAGAGUCA